rnacentral:rRNA from 1 species
UACAGAGGUCUCAAGCGUUGUUCGGAUUCAUUGGGCGUAAAGGGUGCGUAGGCGGCGCGGUAAGUCGGGUGUGAAAUCUCGGAGCUUAACUCCGAAACUGCAUUCGAUACUGCCGUGCUUGAGGACUGGAGAGGAGACUGGAAUUUACGGUGUAGCGGUGAAAUGCGUAGAUAUCUAGAGGAACGCCUGAGGCGAAAGCGGGGCACUGGGCCGAUUCUGACGCUGAGACGCGAAAGCGUGGGGAGCAAACAGG